AGCAGUCGCCGCGGUAACACGUAGGGUGCGAGCGUUAAUCGGAAUUACUGGGCGUAAAGCGUGCGCAGGCGGUUUUGUAAGACAGGCGUGAAAUCCCCGGGCUCAACCUGGGAAUGGCGCUUGUGACUGCAAAGCUAGAGUGCGGCAGAGGGGGAUGGAAUUCCGCGUGUAGCAGUGAAAUGCGUAGAUAUGCGGAGGAACACCGAUGGCGAAGGCAAUCCCCUGGGCCUGCACUGACGCUCAUGCACGAAAGCGUGGGGAGCAAACAGGAUUAGAUACCCCUGUAGUCCCUGUCUCUUAUAC
rnacentral:rRNA from 1 species